UGCAAGUUGGAUCACCCUGAGCUAACCAGCUAGCUUAACCACUAAUAUAAUUCAACGAUAUCCAUAACAGAACAAGACCUGACACCACGAACUAAACCAUUUUUUUACCUGAGUAUGGGAGACAGAAAAGGUUCAACCCAAAGCGAUAGAGAAAGUACCGCAAGGAAAGCUGAAAGAGAAAUGAAACAACCCAUAUAAGCACUGGAAAACAAAGGCUAGACCUUGUACCUUUUGCAUCAUGAUUUAGCCAGUACCCUCAAGCGAAGAGACCUUUAGUUUGAUACCCCGAAACCAGGUGAGCUACCCCGAGACAGCCUAUGUUAAUUUAGGGCUAACCCGUCUCUGUGGCAAAAGAGUGGGAAGAGCUCCGGGUAGAAGUGACAGACCUACCGAACCUGGUGAUAGCUGGUUGCCUGAGAUAUGGAUAGAAGUUCAGCCUCGCACACCCCAAAUCAAGGAACAUAUCAUCAAGAUACUAUGGGAAAAAUACGAGAGUUAGUUGAAGGGGGUACAGCCCCUUUAACAAAGGAUACAACCUUCACAGGAGGAUAAAGAGCAUAAUACAUAAGACACCCUGUUCUAGUGGGCCUGAAAGCAGCCACCUAAGCAGAAAGCGUUAAAGCUCAGACAGAAAGAAAUUUAUUAUACCGUUAAAAAAUCUUACUCCCCUAAAUUUAUCAGGCCGACCCAUGCCCACAUGGGUGAGACUAUGCUAAAAUGAGUAACAAGAAGACCAGAUCUUCUCCCGUCACAAGUGUAGGCCAGAUCGGACUAACCACUGGAAUUUAACGAGCCCAACCCAAGAGGGCAGUGUGAAUAAUAAAAACCGCAAGAAGAACUCACAACUGGUCAAUCGUUAACCCCACACUGGAGUGCCAUUUAUGGGAAAGACUAAAAGAAGGGGAAGGAACUCGGCAAACACAAGCCUCGCCUGUUUACCAAAAACAUCGCCUCCUGCAACCAGACUGAGUAUAGGAGGUCCAGCCUGCCCAGUGACUACGGGUUCAACGGCCGCGGUAUUUUGACCGUGCAAAGGUAGCGCAAUCACUUGUCUCUUAAAUGGAGACCUGUAUGAAUGGCUAGACGAGGGCUUAACUGUCUCCCCCUUCCAGUCAGUGAAAUUGAUCUAUCCGUGCAGAAGCGGGUAUAAUAGUACAAGACGAGAAGACCCUUUGGAGCUUAAGGUACAAGCUUCAGCCACGUUAAACAACUCUAUAGAAAGCAAGAACUUAGUGGCCAUGAAAUUUUACCUUCGGUUGGGGCGACCGCGGAGGAAAACUAAGCCUCCGAGUGGACUGGGUCAAAACCCCUAAAGCCAAGAGGAACAUCUUUAGGCCGCAGAACAUCUGACCAAUAGUGAUCCGGCUGAGAAGCCGAUCAGCGUUCCAAGUUACCCUAGGGAUAACAGCGCAAUCCUCUCCCAGAGCCCAUAUCGACGAGGGGGUUUACGACCUCGAUGUUGGAUCAGGACAUCCUAAUGGUGCAGCAGCUAUUAAGGGUUCGUUUGUUCAACGAUUAAAGUCCUACGUGAUCUGAGUUCAGACCGGAGCAAUCCAGGUCAGUUUCUAUCUGUAACGCUACUUUUCCUAGUACGAAAGGAUCGGAAAAAGGGGGCCUAUGCUUAGGGCAUGCCCCGCCCCUAAUUGAUGAAAACAGAUAAAUUAAGUAAAGGGAGGGCCAAGCCCUGCCGCCCGAGAUAAGGGCA
rnacentral:rRNA from 1 species